rnacentral:lncRNA from 1 species
AGUGACGGUUAUUCCUCCUGCGCGGGAGCUUUGGGGACGCACUUCUGGAUGCCUAGGCCUCUUCCGUUUGCCUCUGGGACUGGCGAUACUCGAGAUGUCUUGAGGCCUUCCAGACCUUGCUCCACCUCCACCACCAGGUCUCCAGUCCUGAGCCACAUGCUGCCAUUUUUGUCUCAGAAGCACCCCUCUUCCAGUGAUGAGCCCACCAUGAAGAAAGGGCACGAAUCUGCUUCCUCUCUCCCUGUCCUGGGAACGGUGCCUGCCCGUGAUGGUAUCCUCAGGCCCCCCUCUCUGCGCCAGCAAGAUGUCCCAGGGGACGUCUGUGCAUUCAGCCAGGUGACCACUAGAAUAAAAUGUUCUCUAGGACCACCUAAGAGGGCAAAACUGAUAAAUGAAGAAGGAAACCAAGGCUCCUGCCACUGAGUGUGUGUCUCCAAAAAGCACAAAGAUCUUCCAGCUGUUUACUAACGUGGUGCCUCUGUCUCCCGACCCCCCACCUGUCCCUUCAAGCAUGGUCACCCACAUGUGCUCAGAAUUGGGCACCUAGUCAGCAGCUCCAGUGGCUUCCAGGACUCUCCUAAAUUGACUUCUGACUUUUAGAAAAGGUGGAGUCCCCUUUUCUGCUGCUGCCCUGGAAGGUGCUGAAGCGGAGCUCAGACUUAGGCUGCAGGAAUGAGCGAGGGGCCCCUAAGAGCCAGCUCUGGCAUUUGUUGGGGAAUGGGUCACUGGUCUCUAGCAGCAGGAAUGGCAGUGAUUCCUCAGCUCCUCUUGAGUGCUGACCAGGUGCUUGGUGCUCUUCCAGGCCCUUCAUGUGAACUGGCGCCUCUCAUCCUCACGUAGCACCGUGCCAGUGGUCAUUUUGUUAUCCUUGUUUAUAAAGGUGAAUGAGGCCAGGCGCAGUGGCUCACGCUUGUAAUCCCAGCAUUGUGGGAGGCCAAGGUGGGUGGAUCACUUAAGGUCAGGAGUCCGAGACCAGCCUGGCCAACAUGGUGAAACUGUCUCUACUAAAAAAAAAUACUAAAAAACCUGUCUCUACUAGAAAAAUAUAAAAA